rnacentral:lncRNA from 1 species
CCUGGGAAUGCCCGGCGUCUGCGCGGCGGCGGCGGCGGACCGCAGCAGUGCAUCUGACCGCCUGCUCUUGGCCGCCGAGCAGUCAGCGCCCAGGCCUGAGGCCAGAGGCUCUCGUCCCACAUUCCGCCAAGGACUGGGGUCGGGCCGUGAGAGCUGAAAACCCGCGGAGGCAGGGGCCUGUUCUAGCUCCUUGUACAGGGAGUUAAGAAAUUGAUUUCUACAUCCUGGAUUUGCUGAAGCCUCCAAGUUCUCUCCUUCGCUUCUUUGCCUUAAACACAGUGUUCAUUUUACUUUUUCAUCCAAGACUAUUCAAACCAACAGACCUAACCGUUUAAUUGCCCCAUUCAGUCUGCCAGUCAUGGAGACCAAACUGCCAAGCACCAUAGGAGGCCUCAUGACCUGUGAAGAGGCUGAGGCUGAAAUGCACAGCAGGACUGGAGGCUAGGUUAACGCCUGUCUUGGCUCUGAAAGUCCUCCUUCUGAAAGUCCUGACUCUGCCAACAGGACUUCCCCUGGUGGACUUCUGGCCCUCUGCAGCAGGCAGAUUGACUUGGGGCCAGUUGACUGGGGACCUUCCUGUGCUUCCUUGCUCUUGGGUGUCUGGCCCCUCCCAGGGUGGUCAGUGGUUGGGAGAAGGCUCUCUCCUGCGCCCACUAUGUGCUCGCUCAGUAUUUAACAACUGGUUCUAGUGAGGGGAAGCCCUGAUCUGUAGCUUGUGCACAUGCCAGUACAAAAUACUGUGUAAAUAUUCCCACUAUGAUCGAUUUCAAGCUACCACCAGUUUAACAACACUUCACAGAAAUUCCUCAAGAUUUAAUAAUGAGGCAACCGUGUGAGCAAUUCCAGUGCACCACUGCUUGUGGCAGACCUCUGCAGCUGGGAUUGGCACUGUCCAUAAGUAAUGUGCAGUAUGUUAGAAGGUGAUGAGUCCUAUAGAAGAGAAAAUGUUCAGCAGGCUGCAUGAACUUCA